rnacentral:rRNA from 1 species
GUGCCAGCCGCCGCGGUAAUACGGAGGGUGCGAGCGUUGUCCGGAAUCAUUGGGCGUAAAGGGCGCGUAGGUGGCCCAGUAAGCGUGCGGUGAAAGCUCGGGGCUCAACCCCGAGUCGGCCGUGCGAACUACUGGGCUGGAGCACUGUAGAGGCAGGCGGAAUUCCGGGUGUAGCGGUGGAAUGCGUAGAGAUCCGGAAGAACACCGGUGGCGAAGGCGGCCUGCUGGGCAGUUGCUGACACUGAGGCGCGACAGCGUGGGGAGCAAACAGGAUUAGAUACCCUGGUAGUCC